AAUUUAAUUCUAAAAUAAAAUAAUUUGCAUAGAGUAUUUAAAAAACUAAUGAUAUACUAAUGUAUUUGCAUGAACUGUUCGUUAUUACUUGCAAGAAACGUAUCCUGUGCGAACUGCGACGUUCACUCGCCGGAAUACAAAGGAAGACUAAUCCAGUAAUUGUCAAAGUCAAUGAAAAGUUUGAUUUUGUUGACGUCAUAUAUAGCCAAGGAUCUCGAAAUCAAAAUUUUUAAAAUGGACAAAUCAUUCUCAUCAUGGAAAUAUAUAUUACAGCGAAUGAACCAAUUUCACGGGUUUACUGAUCGUAUUAAUAACGUUGUGGACUUUAUAAGGGAUUAGUUAGUUUGAAAAUAAUUAUUAAUUCUUAUUUCGUAAGAAGACAGCCAGAUAUAAGGAGUUACGAUCAUGAAAAUGAAAUUUCUUAAUUAAAAACAGCGCAAGAAUUUUGUUGAUUGCUAGAAAGCAUGGCCCUGCACAGUGGGAGGUCACUUGUAGGCCUCUAAGACCUGCUGACAGGACGUGAUUCAAUUGAAAUCGAGUAACAAAAUAUGGAUUAGAUCGAUCAAUAAUUAGCAUUUUUCUCGGUUAAAUUAUAAAGACGAAGCGAUCGAUCGAACGAUGAGAAAAAAGAGGGCAGUCGUAAAGCAAAAAAUCCAUCGUGAUUGAACGAGCAAUAUUUGAAUUAUUUUUAAAUAAACGAGAAAUUGAAGUUGUUCGAUAAGAUAAAAAAUCAAAUGAUCGUUAUGUUACAUUAAUAUCUAUAAUUUCUAAAAAUAAAAAAAAACGAGAAAAU